UUCUGAACAUUGUGCCUGAAUUUUUUAUCCUCUUUUUUUCGUUUGCUUUACAUGUACACGACCUGAAAUUUCAAAAUUCGAAUUUUGAAUUCAAAAUCAAAAUUAAAAAAAAAGGGAAUUCUAUCCAUUCUUUGUUUUCACUUUUAUCUCUUCCUCCUCUUCUUCGAUUCUUCUCCUUCAUCUUUUUCACCUUCAGUUCCUCUUCUUUUUUUUUUGUCCUCAGUUCACUGAUUCUGUUUUUGUAUAAUCUUCUUAAUUUAAGUUGGAGGUGGAGAUUAUAGAGUUCAUGUACGCACCAAGGAAGAGUUACGGCGGUGGAUGAGGUUGCAACCGCUAUGGUUGUGGAUCAUAAUAUGGCGGUGGUGUUGUAGUAGGGGCGGUGGAGUUUGUGAUGGUCAUCCAUGAUGUGAUGAUGGAUACGGAGGAGGCAGCGGCGGAAGAGAGCAAAUCGAUGGAAAGUACUGAGUCGCGCCGCCGCAUAGAACACAUGCAGUGACGCUAUGAAAGAGAGCACAACAGGAAGCAGAGGAAAGAAGUAGAGACACGAAAGGGAGGAGCGAGAGAUGCAUACUGGAGUCGACAACAAUGGGCAUGCAAUUUGGUGCGGCUGAGAUGAUUCCGAUGGCGAUAGAUGCCACGGAAGAUAAGUCACAGUUGCAGCGCCGGAAGCGGCCAGCAACGGUCUUGGUGCGAUGAUUCUGUAUGCUCUGCUUAAGUGCUUAUAGGCGUCUUUGUCUGGUGUGGAGCUGUUAAUGCAAAAAAUCCAGAACCUCAUUGUUGUUGCCGGGAUUCUAUUUGUAUUUUGCUUAAAUUUCAUUAACCUCUUUCCCUCUUAUAUUCCAUUUACAUCCAAUAUACAAAACUAAAUCAGAUUUCAAAGUAAUGCAGCAUGAAUUAUUCAUUUUUCCUUUAGUAUUUGAAGUCCUGGCUUUUGUAUUUUCAGAGUAAUUUAGGAACUAAGGCAAAAGAAGUUCUUCCUGUGUAGCUAUUGUGGAAGGUUUGCAUCCACCCACUCUAUUGUGUCUUUAUUAGUUCUCUUUUUGUUCAAUUGCUUAAAUUUGUUCUUUGCUUUUCCUUAUUAUUAUUCUACUGCUUAUUAUUACCUUAUCCCUCCUCCUUCCUCUCAAGUUUGGCUAUGUUCUUCACUCUUCAGGGAGGUAGUUUCAAUUCUCGAUUUUUGGGUCAUUUCCUCUUCCUCUUCAGUCCGUUUCUCGGUUCACUGAUACUAUUUUCCAAUUUCUUUUUGUUCCUAAUCUCCCCUGAAGGUGGAGAUUAUAGAGUUUGAAGGCAGUUGAUGUCACCGAUGGCUCCAACCUUCAGCGAAGUCGUCGCGGUGGAAGGGAUGGCAGCGGUGGUGGUAAAGGUUACAAAGGUAGAAGCGGUGGCGACGGCAGCCAUGUUGGUGGAGGAGUCUAAGGCAGCAUGGCUCUGACUGGUCGCCGUGGAGUUUAUCACAGUGGUGAAUAAGGGGGAGGAUGUGAUGACAGUCGUGCAUGCUAAAGCACAUUGUGGAAUGGGUCAAGGUAAGCAACCAGGGAGGAGGCAGAUGCAGAGGCAGGUUCCGAGGCGGCGUUUGUGCCGGCGGUAGAUGCUACAACCAUAGGCAUCUGUGGGCAUUUUGCAACAGGCUGCCCAACGUUAGUGAGUUUCAAUCCUCGAUUUUUGGGUCUUUUCUCUUCUAAAAUUGGGUCAACAUUCUUUUUUUCGCGACCCAUUUCAGCUUUGUUGCUUUCAAAGGAAACUUUGUUAAUUCUAUGUUUAUGUUAACCCGUCAAUACUGAAUUAGUACAUGUCACUACUAGCCUCUAUCAAGUAUAAGAGCGAUUUUGCUGUUGUUGAUGUCAUGUUUAAUAUAAAUUUGAGUUGGUUUCAGGUUCUCCUUCCUCUUAGGUGAAGGAACUAAUUAGCUUUAGGGCAAUUUGUACCUUAGAAAACUUUGAAAAUUCCACAUAUAUGUUAACUUAACUAUAUGAUUAUGUUCUUCUUUCUGUGCUUACUAUUGGGUCCAUCAUAUUUUGAAUUAAUAUUGUUACAAUAUAAUAUAAAAUAGGGAGGAAACUAUUCACAUAAUAUAUGAUUAUGUUCUUCUUUCUAGACUUGGUGUGUGCUAUUAUUUGGGGGAAUCAUUGGGCAGGUAUUUUAUUCAAACCAUAUUUCUUUUACGUUUUCAGUUUACUGUUAGAGUUUUUUUGCUGUUGUAGAUUUCAAAUGAAACGAUUAUUUGCUGUGGGCAUUGGGCAAUCUAUUAGCAUGUUUCUUUUAAGUGAUGUAGCCCGUUUUCUUUAUGAGAUCGCGCAUACCCUUCCAGUUUCACUUAAUAACGUUGGAGGUGUAUUCGUGGGAGCCUGUUCUGUAUUAAUGGGAAACUUUUGGGAUGCUCAUAGUACUGAAACUCUGUUGGAGUCAGAUAUAUCGGUAGGAUUAUCUUUUGUCAAUCUGUUAUUUUCAACGGAAAUUUAAUUUUUUGAGUUUUAAGACAUCGUUGACUUCUUGGUCUCAUAUAUGUGUUAGGUAGGUAGCAUUGUAUUAAUUAUGAUCGCUCGGUUGAGUUUACGUUAAUUUUCAGUAAGUAUAGAUGAUUUGUGUGUGAACUGCUUUCAUAAGAACAAUGCCUCGAGAUAAAGUCUAAUUCUUUGUGUUUUUAUGUGUUUGAAUUAAGAAACAACAGGUUGAAAGCAAUCUUUUCUGAUUGGAAUUGUCCACGAUUCCUUUAAAAGAAGAGCAACAUGGAUUGAAGACCAAAUGCAUUAGAUGAAUCUGAAAUUUUUACAAGGGUAUACCAUAUUUGAAGCUUGCUAAUGAGGGGUUUGUUUGCUAUUGGUAAUGGAAGCAAGAAGUUAAGGAAUCGAAUAUUAAGUCAUAAGGGUUUGGAAGCAAUUGCUACCGGGUGCAAGGAACUUACACAUCUUGAAGUCAAUGGAUGUCACAACAUUCAAGAUUUGGGGCUAGAAUCCAUUGGAAGAUCUUGCAAGAUGGAGAAGGAUGCAAGUUCCUACAAACUCUUCAACAGGUAGAUUUCUCAAACCUUGGGGAUAGUGCUAUAUGUGGUAUACCUAUUGGCUGUAGGAAUUUAAAGAAACUUCAGAUCCAUUGCUACUAUGAGGUACUUCAUUUGCAUGACUAUUUGGUUUACCAUGUUAAACUUCAUUUAAAAACGAAUAUUUUUGGGAUGGCUCACUUUCAAAAUACUCUCUGUGUAAUGUAAUAUAGGAGAAUGACUGUAACUCAUUUUGUCUCAACACACAAUUUUACCAAUUUUUCCUUUAUCUAAAUGGCUUCUUUUGGUGAUUCCACAUUCAAAACUAUUGUUAGUCAAUAAAAUCCGAAAACCAUGAGAGUUUGAGACCGGUGAGCUACGUGAAAAUGAAUGUCAAAAUGCAGUAUUUAACUUGGUUACAGAAAUUUAUUCACUCCUAUGCAUAGUCUACUACUCUCUUUUGAUCUGUUUCAUCGUCCAAUACCGCAUUCCCAUUCUGCACACGCAUAAAGGCGUUACGUUUUCUAUAUGCUAUGUUGUCUAUGCAGUUUUGGCAAAAAUUUAAAAACGUUGCUGAAGUUGAAACAUAUUUUUUAGUAUGUUACUCAUUUUUAUUGAGCUUGAAGAUUAAAAGUGUUUCAUCCAAAUACAGUUUUAGCAUUAGUCUUAGGCUUUUAGCCUUUUCUCUUAUCUUUUAAUUCAGUUUUUUCCCAAUUUUUGAAAGGUGCAGAUGAUUUUGCCACAAGUUGAGGUUAUUACUGCUUGAUUUUGAUGGCUGAUUAUAUAGUUUUAUUGCAUCAGGUAUCAUUUGUUAUAUGUUAGUACUUUCUCAUGUUAUAUUCCGACCAAACUUUAUGAAAGUAUCUUUUUCUUCCCAAAAGAUUAAUUCUUUGUUGUUAAUAGUGUAUUUUUCGUUGAUCUCUCUUGAAUCCGCUUUGUUGCUUUUUAUCUGUUCUGAAUCUGCUAUAGCAUAUAGUUUUUUCAAUUUGUUCUCAAUUUAGCUUAUAUGUUUGUUACAUGUUUUUAGUUGCAACAACCAUGAGCUAACAUAUGAUUCAGGCAUUCAUGUAUCCAUUUUCUAAAUUUGAUAUUUUGAUUUCUUUUGCUUUUUCAAGAUUUAUUGCAAUUUGAAUGGUAUUUUAUAACAUUGUUGGUUCUAACCUUUUUCUUU